GUCGUCGUGGCCGAGUGGUUAAGGCGACAGACUUGAAAACUGUUGGGCUCUGCCCGCACAGGUUCGAAUCCUGUCGGCGACG
rfam:Ciona savignyi cont_62804, whole genome shotgun sequence.